GACGAACCGAGCGAACGUUGUUCGGAAUCACUGGGCUUAAAGGGCGCGUAGGCGGGCCGCCAAGUUCGAGGUGAAAUCCUCCGGCUCAACCGGAGAACUGCCUCGAAUACUGGAGGUCUCGAGGGUGGUAGGGGCAUGCGGAACUGUGGGUGGAGCGGUGAAAUGCGUUGAUAUCCACAGGAACUCCGGUGGCGAAGGCGGCAUGCUGGACCACAUCUGACGCUGAGGAGCGAAAGCGUGGGGAGCAAACAGG
rnacentral:rRNA from 1 species